AUUGAACGCUGGCGGAAUGCUUUACACAUGCAAGUCGAACGGCAGCACGGACUUCGGUCUGGUGGCGAGUGGCGAACGGGUGAGUAAUGUAUCGCAACGUGCCCAGUCGUGGGGGAUAACGUAGUGAAAAUUACGCUAAUACCGCAUACGAUCUAUGGACGAAAGCGGGGGAUCGCAAGAACUCGCGCGAUUGGAGCGGCCGAUAUCAGAUUAGGUAGUUGGUGGGGUAAAGGCCCACCAAGCCAACGAUCGGUAGCUGGUCUGGGAGGACGACCAGCCACACUGGAACUGAGACACGGUCCAGACUCCUACGGGAGGCAGCAGUGGGGAAUUUUGGACAAUGGGCGAAAGCCUGAUCCAGCCAUUCCGCGUGCAGGAUGAAGGCCCUCGGGUUGUAAACUGCUUUUGUACAGAACGAAAAGGUUUCUACUAAUACUAGGAGCUCAUGACGGUACUGUAAGAAUAAGCACCGGCUAACUACGUGCCAGCCGCCGCCGUAA
rnacentral:rRNA from 1 species